rnacentral:rRNA from 1 species
GAUUAUGGCUCAGGACGAACGGCUGGCGGCGUGCCUAACACAUGCAAGUCGAGCGAUGAAAUCCUUCGGGAUGGAUUAGCGGCGGACGGGUGAGUAACACGUGGGUAACCUGCCUUGUAGAGGGGGAUAGCCUUCCGAAAGGAAGAUUAAUACCGCAUAACAUCUUUUUAUCGCAUGGUAGAAAGAUCAAAGGAGCAAUCCGCUACAAGAUGGACCCGCGGCGCAUUAGCUAGUUGGUGAGGUAACGGCUCACCAAGGCGACGAUGCGUAGCCGACCUGAGAGGGUGAUCGGCCACAUUGGAACUGAGACACGGUCCAGACUCCUACGGGAGGCAGCAGUGGGGAAUAUUGCGCAAUGGGGGAAACCCUGACGCAGCAACGCCGCGUGAAUGAAGAAGGCCUCAGGGUUGUAAAGUUCUGUUUACGGGGACGAUAAUGACGGUACCCGUGGAGGAAGCCACGGCUAACUACGUGCCAGCAGCGGC